rnacentral:lncRNA from 1 species
AUGAAUGCUUUAUUGCUUUAACGUUUUCACGUUCCCUCCAUACAUGAUUCAGAACAUGGAUGUUAUGAAUGGUUUAAUUUUAUUUUUUCCUCAAAUUCAUGUCAUUGUAAUUACUGAUGUGUUGAUAUAAUUCGAAGUCAUGAAUCUACUACUAAAACCAUAUGUACAGUAUAGCGUUUUAUGACUAUUUUUGUAGAAAUUUAUUCAGCUAAACUAUUUUUUUUUACAUUGGAUCAUAUUUAUGUGAUUCUACUAAAUUCAUAUCGUUGUUAUGCCGGAUUUAGACAGAGUUAUUAAUCUUUGGUUGUUAACUCUAUAUAGAACAAAAUUGAUGUAUUAAGAAUAAGAUUGAUUUGAUUUUAUGCCGCAGAUUUAGAUAGAGUUAUAUGUGUUUCUUUAGUUUUACGUACUCGAUAUUUGAAUUUAGGGACCGAGAUGGAGAUGGGAACGAGGAGAGACAGGACAAAUGGAUUCAUUGUCGAGGAAGCAUGGAGCUAUAAGUAGAUAUCCAAAUUAAUUAUAAAGAUUAAGGAGUCUUGUCUAUACAGUAUAGGUAUGGUCGUUUUAGUUUUGAAUUCAAACCUCUAACACGAGAUAUAUAUUCUGAUGAUGAAGAGAAGAAUAUAUUUCAAAUCAUGAAGUUAUUAAAGGUAUACACAUAAACAGAUAGCAGCACGCAGCAACUAAAUAAAAAAGUGUGUACCAAGCUAAGACAAUAUACUAAAAACCAAAAAAAAUGAAGGACAAAGGGCUUGAAACACCAAAUUGAAAUGUAGAAGGCGGGGACGACGUGGAGCAAGUAAAUUAAAUAAAAAUAUAUAAUUACGAAAAAAGAAAAAUCAUUAAUUAUCAAUACCC